rnacentral:lncRNA from 1 species
AGAGAGAGAGAAGGGGCAGCACUCUAUGGCUUCUGUUUAGUACAUCGACGUUGCCAGCAUUACUACUCUUGCGCUCCAGGACCAUUAUGCAGUAAAAUCAGGGUGAUCUGAACACAAGCAUGGUGGCACCACCAUAGUCGAUCUGAUCUCUGAGGUUGCUGCUCAGUGAGUCAUGAGUGGGGAGCAUGGAUAGCGUGGAUCCGCUGGACAGAGGCUGAUUCACUUCCCAGGAAUGAACGUGGAAGUGUAUCCAACUGGAAGAAUAAGUCCAAACCAAGGAGAUUUUGAGAGUCAAACUUAGGGAAAACCAAGAAGAAACUAAAAGUCCAGAGAUUGAACCACCAAAUGUAAGAACUAAUCUCCUACUAAUAGGAGGAAUCAACAUGUUCUUUCCAACAGACCUGUAGCCUCUGAUGGCACACAGUGUCACUGAGAUCAGCUGGGUGGUCAGGUGUUUGAGCCACCUUGAAACACCAGCAGCUGAGGAAAAGAGCUCCUGCUGCACCUGCUGGGAGCGGUGGGGUUGGGGCUUCCCACUUCCCGAAGCCCUGGAAAAGGGCACCCAGACAUUUUACAGAAU